GACGAACGCUGGCGGUAUGCUUAACACAUGCAAGUCGAACGAGAAGUUUUUUAUUGAACCUUCGGGGGAUAUAAGAGACAGACAGUGGCGAACGGGUGAGUAACGCGUGGGCAACCUACCUAUCGGAGCGGGAUAGCCUCGAGAAAUCGGGAGUAAAACCGCAUAACACGGAUAUAUCGCAUGAUGAAUCCGUCAAAACUCCGGUGCCGAUAGAUGGGCCCGCGUCUGAUUAGCUGGUUGGUAAGGUAAGGGCUUACCAAGGCAACGAUCAGUAGCCGGUCUGAGAGGGCGAACGGCCACACUGGAACUGAGACACGGUCCAGACUCCUACGGGAGGCAGCAGUGGGGAAUAUUGCGCAAUGGGGGCAACCCUGACGCAGCAAUACCGCGUGAAUGAAGAAGGUUUUCGGAUCGUAAAGCUCUGUUAUUGGGGAAGAAGCAGGACGGUACC
rnacentral:rRNA from 1 species